UACGUAGGGGGCAAGCGUUGUCCGGAUUCAUUGGGCGUAAAGAGCGUGUAGGCGGCCAGGUAGGUCGGUUGUGAAAACUGGAGGCUCAACCUUCAGAGGUCGACCGAAACCAUCUGGCUAGAGUCCGGGAGAGGAGAGUGGAAUUCCUGGUGUAGCGGUGAAAUGCGCAGAUAUCAGGAAGAACACCCGUGGCGAAAGCGGCUCUCUGGAACGGUACUGACGCUGAGGAACGAAAGCUAGGGGAGCAAACAGG
rnacentral:rRNA from 1 species